CCUACGGGUGGCAGCAGUGAGGAAUAUUGGUCAAUGGGAGAGAUCCUGAACCAGCCAAGCCGCGUGAGGGAUGACGGUUCUAUGGGUCGUAAACCUCUUUUGUCGGGGAAUAAAAUGUGGGACGUGUCCUGUUUUGUGUGUACCUUAUGAAUAAGGAUCGGCUAACUCCGUGCCAGCAGCCGCGGUAAUACGGAGGAUCCGAGCGUUAUCCGGAUUUAUUGGGUUUAAAGGGUGCGUAGGCGGACCGUUAAGUCAGCGGUAAAAGCCCGGGGCUCAACCCCGGCGAGCCGUUGAAACUGGCUGUCUUGAGAUGGCGAGAGGUACGCGGAAUGCGCAGUGUAGCGGUGAAAUGCUUAGAUAGUGCGCAGAACUCCGAUUGCGAAGGCAGCAUACCGGCGGCGAUCUGACGCUGAGGCACGAAAGCGUGGGUAUCGAACAGGAUUAGAUACCCGAGUAGUC
rnacentral:rRNA from 1 species